GACUGGCUCUGUGGCGAUCGCUUCCGGGAAAGAGACGUGCGCUCCGCCGCGGCGCUGGCGGCUGCCCCGAGCGGCGGGACCUCGCGGUGCGGGACGCGGCAGCCGCAGCCCGGGAAAGGUAGAUUCUCUCGACCCUGAGUUCUGAAACUUCCCAGUACAAUGACUCAAGCUGAAAUUAAACUGUGUUCUUUGUUGCUACAAGAGCAUUUUGGAGAGAUUGUAGAAAAAAUUGGAGUGCACCUAAUCAGAACUGGCAGCCAGCCACUUAGGGUGAUUGUCCAUGACACAGCAACAUCACUGGAUCAGGUGAAAAAAGCACUUUGUGUCCUUAUCCAACAUAACCUGGUGCUAUAUCAAGUGCAUAAGCGCGGUGUGGUGGAGUAUGAAGCCCAGUGCAACCGGGUGUUACGAAUGCUUAGGUAUCCCCGGUACAUCUAUACUACCAAAGCACUUUAUGGUGACACUGGAGAGCUGAUUGUUGAGGAGCUGCUGUUGAAUGGCAAAAUGACAAUGUCAGCUGUUGUGAAGAAAGUGGCAGACCGACUCACAGAGACCGUGGAAGAUGGCAAGACCAUGGAUUAUGCUGAGGUGUCAAACACUUUUGUGCAGCUGGCAGACACACGCUUUGUACAGCGUUGCCCCAUGGUGCAUAUCCCUGAGAAUUCAGACACCGGGCCCUCACCGCCUGCCCCUAGCCUUGUCAUUAAUGAAAAGGACAUGUACCUGGUUCCUAAACUGAGCUUGAUAGGGAAAGGUAAAAGGAGAAGAUCAUCAGAUGAAGAUGCUGCUGGUGAGCCCAAGGCCAAGAGACCAAAGCGCCCCAUGGAUAGCAAAGAGCCCAUUCCAGAUGAUGGUAUUUAUUGGCAGGCAAACCUUGACAGGUUCCACCAACACUUCCGUGACCAAGCCAUUGUGAGUGCAGUUGCAAAUAGAAUGGACCAGACAAGCAGCGAGAUCAUGCGGGCCAUGCUUCGGAUGAGUGAGGUUACCACUUCCUCUGAUGCCCCCUUCACUCAGCCAUUAUCUUCCAAUGAGAUCUUCAGAUCCCUGCCUGUUGGCUAUAACAUCUCUAAGCAAGUCCUCGACCAGUAUCUCACACUACUUGCAGAUGACCCACUAGAGUUUGUUGGAAAGUCUGGCGACAGCGGUGGAGGAAUGUACAUCAUCAACUUCUGUAAGGCAUUAGCAUCGCUAGCCAUAGCCACUCUAGAGUCUGUCAUACAGGAGAGAUUUGGAUCUCGGUGUGCCAGAAUAUUCCGUCUGGUUUUGCAAAAGAAACACCUAGAGCAGAAGCAAGUGGAAGACUUCGCAAUGAUUCCUGCAAAGGAGGCAAAAGAUAUGCUAUAUAAGAUGCUUUCAGAAAAUUUCAUAUCACUUCAGGAAAUUCCAAAAACACCAGACCAUGCCCCGUCCCGGACCUUCUAUUUAUAUACUGUGAAUGUCCUAUCAGCUGUGCGAAUGUUGCUGCACAGGUGCUACAAGAGCGUAAGCAACUUGAUAGAAAGGCGGCAAUUUGAAACCAAAGAAAACAAGCGUCUACUUGAAAAGUCUCAGCGGGUAGAAGCCAUCAUUGCAUCUGUGCAGGCCACAGGUGCGGAGGAAGCACAGCUGCAGGAAAUAGAGGAGAUGAUCACGGCCCCUGAGCGUCAGCAGCUGGAGACUCUGAAGCGCAAUGUCAACAAGUUGGAUGCCAGUGAGAUCCAGGUAGAUGAAACCAUCUUCCUGCUGGAGUCAUACAUUGAGAGCACCACGAAGAGACAAUGACCCAGAAGAAGCAUCUUCCUCAGAAGGCUUGGGGGGAUGGAGAGAAAAAGGCAGUGCCUGGGAUCUUGGCUGUUACCAGAGGAGCGCGGAUCCUUUGUUGUCACUGAGGAUGCUACCGUUCUCUUAAGGAGCCCUGGCCCUUACCUGAAGCAUCAAUUCCUGCAAAUUCCUCAGCCUGCUGGCACAGCUCCUUCAUCCCACAGGCACUGACUUUCCAACCUCCACCACUGACCUUUGGCCAUGCUGGUGCAGAUGCUUGAUACACACUUGCAUGAGACAUCCGCCAUGGGCUCCAGGUUUUCAGCUGGACUCCUGCAGGACGUUGCUGCGGGAUCCAGGCCCUCGGCUGGAUUCUUUGAGUCACUAGUGUGAGAACGGAUCUGAGCUCUUCUGCAUUUGACUUUUGGUGAAGAUUAUAAAAUAAUCCUGACAAUUAUG